CUUGACAAAUUAUAGGAGGUCCAGCCUGCCCAGUGACAUAGUUAAACGGCCGCGGUAUUCUGACCGUGCGAAGGUAGCAUAAUCACUUGUUCUUUAAAUAAGGACUAGUAUCAACGGCAUCACGAGGGUUAUACUGUCUCCUCUUUCCAAUCAGUGAAACUGAUCUCCCCGUGAAGAAGCGGGGAUAAACCUAUAAGACGAGAAGACCCCAUGGAGCUUUAAACUCAACAACAACUCCCUAUACAAAGUACUAAAUAUUAUGGAAGCCCUGUCUGUUAGUUUUGGGUUGGGGUGACCGCGGAGAAAAACUAAACCUCCACGACGAACGGAAUUAACUCCUAAUCUAAGAGCAACUACUCUAAGAAUCAAUAAAUUGACAUAAGCUGAUCCGAUAAUCGAUCAACGAACCA
rnacentral:rRNA from 1 species